rnacentral:lncRNA from 1 species
GGUUAUCUAACAGCCUGUCACCUUUGUCUUCGUUUGCAGCAGUGUGAAGAAACCUGAACUUCUACAGACUGGAACCAUAUCAUGUUUACCAACAAAUCCAGGUUCUGUUUGGAAUUUGCGAUGGUUGGGUUUGAGUAUGAAGUUUUUGAGUGUGUCAGUGAUGACUAUAUGAGCACAGAACUAUUCAUCAGCAGGAGUGAGCAUCAUCGUUAGAGCUCCCAAUGGACUGUCUGAGACAUACAUUACUCCUCUAUAAAUCCUGGGCUUUCAUCAGUUUGAGACAUCAACAAACACCAGUUCACUCAGGCCUUCACCAUGAUUUGCAUUUGGAUCCGCCUGAACCACAAAGCCCAGAAUGAACAACACCAAACUACAGGUUCCUGCUCCACACUCGCUCAGAUUUCACAAUGAGUAAGAGACUAACAUGUGGGCACACACACAUAAGAAAAAGACUGUGCACUGUGAGUCUAUGAGUCAAUGUGGGUGGUUCACACAAAUAACAGACUAAUAAAUGACUCACAAUUUACUCA